CCUACGGGCGGCAGCAGUGAGGAAUAUUGGUCAAUGGCCGGAAGGCUGAACCAGCCAUGCCGCGUGAAGGUCAGUGCCCUAUGGGCGUUAAACUUCUUUUGUGCGGGAGCAAUAAUGGUCACGUUUGGCCAGACGAGAGUACCGUACGAAUAAGCAUCGGCUAACUCCGGGCCAGCAGCCGCGGUAAUACGGGGGAUGCAAGCGUUACCCGGAUUUAUUGGGUUUAAAGGGUGCGUAGGCUGGGAGGUAAGUCAGCGGUGAAAUGCCCCCGCUCAACGGGGUGAAGUGCCAUGGAUACUGGCGUGCUGGAAUGCGGAUGCCGUGGGAGGAAUGUGUGGUGUAGCGGUGAAAUGCAUAGAGAUCACACAGAACACCGAUUGCGAAGGCAUCUCACGAAUCCGCGAUUGACGCUGAUGCAGGAAAGCGUGGGUAUCAAACAGGAUUAGAUACCCGUGUAGUC
rnacentral:rRNA from 1 species